GACGAACGCUGGCGGCGUGCUUAACACAUGCAAGUCGAACGGUGACCCAUCUUCGGAUGGUGAUCAGUGGCGAACGGGUGAGUAACACGUGGGCAACCUGCCCCUAGCUCUGGGAUAACGCUUCGAAAGAGGUGCUAAUACCGGAUAUCACCUCCCUGGACAUCCAGGGUGGUUGAAAGUUUUUCGGCUAGGGAUGGGCCCGCGGCCUAUCAGCUUGUUGGUGGGGUAAUGGCCUACCAAGGCGACGACGGGUAGCCGGCCUGAGAGGGCGACCGGCCACACUGGGACUGAGACACGGCCCAGACUCCUACGGGAGUCAGCAGUGGGGAAUAUUGCGCAAUGGGCGAAAGCCUGACGCGGCAACGCCGCGUGAGGGAUGACGGCCUUCGGGUUGUAAAGCUCUUUCGGCCGGGAAGAAAUCGCACGGGCUAAUACCCUGUGUGGAUGACGGUACCGGAAUAAGAAGCACCGGCUAACUAC
rnacentral:rRNA from 1 species